rnacentral:tRNA from 1 species
GGAGAUGUGGCUCAGAAGUAGAGUACUUGCCUAGCAUACAAGAGUUUUUGGGUUCGAUCCCUAGCGCUACCA